AAAGCAUUCUCUGGUGUUGAAGGCCCUGCAAAGCAGCAUCGCGGUGGCGGAGCGUCGUUUGCGACGCCCAACACACAAAACAAGCGGUGAGUGCUUUGGGGUGGGGUGACUGCGUACCUUUUGUAUAAUGGGUCAGCGACUUAUAUUCUGUAGCAAGGUUAACCGUAUAGGGGAGCCGUAGGGAAACCGAGUCUUAACCGGGCGUUAAGUUGCAGGGUAUAGACCCGAAACCCGGUGAUCUAGCCAUGGGCAGGUUGAAGGUUGGGUAACACUAACUGGAGGACCGAACCGACUAAUGUUGAAAAAUUAGCGGAUGACUUGUGGCUGGGGGUGAAAGGCCAAUCAAACCGGGAGAUAGCUGGUUCUCCCCGAAAGCUAUUUAGGUAGCGCCUCGUGAAUUCAUCUUCGGGGGUAGAGCACUGUUUCGGCUAGGGGGUCAUCCCGACUUACCAACCCGAUGCAAACUGCGAAUACCGGAGAAUGUUAUCACGGGAGACACACGGCGGGUGCUAACGUCCGUCGUGAAGAGGGAAACAACCCAGACCGCCAGCUAAGGUCCCAAAGUCAUGGUUAAGUGGGAAACGAUGUGGGAAGGCCCAGACAGCCAGGAUGUUGGCUUAGAAGCAGCCAUCAUUUAAAGAAAGCGUAAUAGCUCACUGGUCGAGUCGGCCUGCGCGGAAGAUGUAACGGGGCUAAACCAUGCACCGAAGCUGCGGCAGCGACACUGUGUGUUGUUGGGUAGGGGAGCGUUCUGUAAGCCUGCGAAGGUGGCCUGUGAGGGUUGCUGGAGGUAUCAGAAGUGCGAAUGCUGACAUAAGUAACGAUAAAGCGGGUGAAAAGCCCGCUCGCCGGAAGACCAAGGGUUCCUGUCCAACGUUAAUCGGGGCAGGGUGAGUCGACCCCUAAGGCGAGGCCGAAAGGCGUAGUCGAUGGGAAACAGGUUAAUAUUCC
rnacentral:rRNA from 1 species